rnacentral:rRNA from 1 species
UACGAAGGGGGCUAGCGUUGCUCGGAAUCACUGGGCGUAAAGGGUGCGUAGGCGGGUCUUUUAAGUCAGGGGGUGAAAUCCUGGAGCUCAACUCCAGAACUGCCUUUGAUACUGAAGAUCUUGAGUUCGGGAGAGGUGAGUGGAACUGCGAGUGUAGAGGUGAAAUUCGUAGAUAUUCGCAAGAACACCAGUGGCGAAGGCGGCUCACUGGCCCGAUACUGACGCUGAGGCACGAAAGCGUGGGGGAGCAAACAGG